UUGAUACUCCCUCCGUUCGGAAUUACUUGUCUCGAAAAUGGAUGUAUCUAGAACUAAAAUACGUCUAGAUACAUUCAUUUCUGCGACAAGUAAUUCCGAACAGAGGGAGUAGAUG
rnacentral:pre_miRNA from 1 species